GGACGCCUGAUGGAGGGGGAUAACUACUGGAAACGGUAGCUAAUACCGCAUAACGUCGCAAGACCAAAGAGGGGGACCUUCGGGCCUCUUGCCAUCGGAUGUGCCCAGAUGGGAUUAGCUAGUAGGUGGGGUAACGGCUCACCUAGGCGACGAUCCCUAGCUGGUCUGAGAGGAUGACCAGCCACACUGGAACUGAGACACGGUCCAG
rnacentral:rRNA from 1 species